rnacentral:pre_miRNA from 1 species
UCUUACAGAUGAUCAAAGAAAGUGGUUUCUUGACAUGGAAUCUACUACACCUGGUGAAGAUGCUGUGAA